AGCCAUGCAAGUCUCAGUACGAGCUUUCUUAAAGUGAAACCGCAAAAGGCUCAGUAAACCGGUCAUAGUUUACCGGAUAAAUGCCACUACGUGGAUAACUGUGGUAAUUCUAGAGCUAAUACAUGCAAACCAAGUCCCGACCAGCGAUGGAGAGGACGCUUUUAUUGGAUCAAAACCAUUCGCCCGGCUCGUCCGGGCGUCUGCUUGAUGACUCUAGAUAACACCACAGAUCGUACGGUCACAGUACCGGCGACAUAUCCUUCAAAUGUCUGACUUAUCAGCUGUCGAUGGUAGACUCUGUGUCUACCAUGGCGUUCACGGGUAACGGGGAAUCAGGGUUCGAUUCCGGAGAGGGAGCCUGAGAAACGGCUACCACAUCCAAGGAAGGCAGCAGGCACGCAAAUUACCCACUCCCGGCACGGGGAGGUAGUGACAAAAAAUAACGAUACGGGACUCAUCCGAGGCCCCGUAAUCGGAAUGAGAACAUCCUAAAUCCUUUAACGAGGAUCUAUUGGAGGGCAAGUCUGGUGCCAGCAGCCGCGGUAAUUCCAGCUCCAAUAGCGUAUAUUAAAGUUGUUGCGGUUAAAAAGCUCGUAGUUGGUUCUGCGUGCCACGCUGUCGGUUCACCGCCUGUCGGUGCAACUGGCAUGUCGUGGCAUGUCCUGCCGGUGGCGGAUAGGCUUCGCGGCGCUCCCUACUCGAUACGUCUUGUAGGUCGUCGCGUUGUCCUUGUACGCCGACUCAAUCCUACCGCGGUGCUCUUUACCGAGUGUCGAGGUAGGCCGGCACAUUUUACUUUGAACAAAUUAGAGUGCUUAAAGCAGGCUCUUAAAUCAGCCUGAAUAGUGGUGCAUGGAAUAAUGGAACAGGACCUUGGUUCUAUUUUGUUGGUUUUAGGAAUCCAAGGUAAUGAUCAAUAAGGACAGGCGGGGGCAUUCGUAUUGCGACGUUAGAGGUGAA
rnacentral:rRNA from 1 species